CCUACGGGGGGCAGCAGUGGGGAAUAUUGGACAAUGGGGGGAACCCUGAUCCAGCAAUGCCGCGUGUGUGAAGAAGGCCCUCGGGUUGUAAAGCACUUUCAGUGAGGAAGAACGCCUGGUGGUUAAUACCCAUCAGGAAAGACAUCACUCACAGAAGAAGCACCGGCUAACUCCGUGCCAGCAGCCGCGGUAAUACGGAGGGUGCGAGCGUUAAUCGGAAUUACUGGGCGUAAAGCGCGCGUAGGUGGCUUGAUAAGCCGGUUGUGAAAGCCCCGGGCUCAACCUGGGAACGGCAUCCGGAACUGUCAAGCUAGAGUGCAGGAGAGGAAGGUAGAAUUCCCGGUGUAGCGGUGAAAUGCGUAGAGAUCGGGAGGAAUACCAGUGGCGAAGGCGGCCUUCUGGACUGACACUGACACUGAGGUGCGAAAGCGUGGGUAGCAAACAGGAUUAGAUACCCGGGUAGUC
rnacentral:rRNA from 1 species